rnacentral:rRNA from 1 species
AGUGAACGCUGGCGGUAGGCCUAACACAUGCAAGUCGAACGGCAGCACAGUAAGAGCCUGCUCUUACGGGUGGCGAGUGGCGGACGGGUGAGGAAUACAUCGGAAUCUACUUUUUCGUGGGGGAUAACGUAGGGAAACUUACGCUAAUACCGCAUACGACCUACGGGUGAAAGCAGGGGAUCUUCGGACCUUGCGCGAUUGAAUGAGCCGAUGUCGGAUUAGCUAGUUGGCGGGGUAAAGGCCCACCAAGGCGACGAUCCGUAGCUGGUCUGAGAGGAUGAUCAGCCACACUGGAACCGAGACAAGGUCCAGACUCCUACGGGAGGCAGCAGUGGGGAAUAUUGGACAAUGGGCGCAAGCCUGAUCCAGCCAUACCGCGUGGGUGAAGAAGGCCUUCGGGUUGUAAAGCCCUUUUGUUGGGAAAGAAAAGCAGCAGGUUAAUACCCCGCUGUUCUGACGGUACCCAAAGAAUAAGCACCGGCUAACUUCGUG